rnacentral:rRNA from 1 species
GGUGACCUCCUGGGAAGUCCUCUUGUUGCACCCCUU